UUUUCUUGUCUCGUAUUGGAAAAGAUGGCCGAUACUGAGGAUAUUCAACCCCUCGUCUGGGACAAUGGAACCGGAAUGGUGAAAGCUGGUUUUGCUGGUGAUGAUGCUCCCAGGGCAGUUUUUCCCAGUAUUGUCGGUCCACCCCGACACACUGGGGCCAUGGUUGGGAUGGGUCAGAUGCCUGUGUAGGAGAUGAAGCACAAUCUAAAAGAGGUAUUAUUACUUUGAAAUAUCCCAUUGAGCAUGUAUUGUCAGCAACUGGGAUGAUAUGGAAAAGAUCUGGCAUCAUACAUUCUACAAUGAGCUUCGUGUUGCUCCUGAGGAGCAUCCUAUGCUUCUCACGGAGGCACCUCUCAAUCCCAAAACCAAUAGAGAAAAGAUGACUCAGAUCAUGUUUGAGACCUUCAAUGUACCUGCCAUGUAUGUUGCUAUCCAGGCUGUUCUCUCAUUGUAUGCCAGUGGUCGUACAACAGGUUUGUUCAAAUAAAGACCUUACUAAUUUUCACACUUUUUUUUACUGAUUA